GGGGUUGACAGGAAUUGACGGCAGGAUAGUUGAUAAGUAAGCAUGCCGAGCAUUGUGCAAUUUGGCUCGUUAAAUUUAACGCACGCAAACUUUUUUACAUGGCGAGAAUACUUUCGCUUUAGCUGCUUAAUACAGGUUAUUAAGCUUGGCUUUUGUACCUCAGAAUAGUUUUUCCAAUACUAUCUGACUGUGCAUAACUGAAUUGGAAUAGUGCUGUAAUUGUUUCGCUUGCAGUGCGAAAUUCAGAAACUAAGAUGAGUAUCGGUUGGUAAAAACGCCUGUACUGAUUCGAAAAUCAAGUUUCUACUAAGCAUGUAGAAAGCUUAUGAACGUUUUGUCCGGACGCGAGUUCAAAUCUCGCCAGCUCCACCA
rnacentral:tmRNA from 1 species